rnacentral:rRNA from 1 species
GACGAACGCUGGCGGCAUGCCUAACACAUGCAAGUCGAACGGUAAGGCCUCUUCGGAGGUACACGAGUGGCGAACGGGUGAGUAACACGUGGGUAACCUGCCCUUCACUGGGGGACGAACCGAGGGAAACUUCGGCUAAUACCGCAUAACGUGCGUUGCUUUAAGGCGACGUACCAAAACUACCGGUGGUGAAGGAUGGGCCCGCGCCAGAUUAGCUUGUUGGUGGGGUAAUGGCCUACCAAGGCGACGAUCUGAGCUGGUCUGAGAGGACGAUCAGCCACACUGGAACUGAGACACGGUCCAGACUCCUACGGGAGGCAGCAGUGGGGAAGUCUUGCGCAAUGGGCGAAAGCCUGACGCAGCGACGCCGCGUGAGGGAUGACGGCCU